GCUGGGUGUGGUGGUGCACGCCUAUAAUCCCAGCUGCUCAGGAGGCUGAGGCAGGAAGAUUGCAAGUUCAAAGCCAGCUUCAGCAUCUU
rnacentral:sRNA from 1 species